rnacentral:rRNA from 1 species
GUGACUGCGUACCUUUUGUAUAAUGGGUCAGCGACUUAUAUUCAGUGGCGAGCUUAACCGAAUAGGGGAGGCGUAGCGAAAGCGAGUGUUAAUAGCGCGUUUAGUCGCUGGGUAUAGACCCGAAACCGGGCGAUCUAUCCAUGGGCAGGUUGAAGGUUGGGUAACACUAACUGGAGGACCGAACCGACUACCGUUGAAAAGUUAGCGGAUGACCUGUGGAUCGGAGUGAAAGGCUAAUCAAGCUCGGAGAUAGCUGGUUCUCCUCGAAAGCUAUUUAGGUAGCGCCUCAUGUAUCACUGUAGGGGGUAGAGCACUGUUUCGGCUAGGGGGUCAUCCCGACUUACCAAACCGAUGCAAACUCCGAAUACCUACAAGUGCCGAGCAUGGGAGACACACGGCGGGUGCUAACGUCCGUCGUGAAAAGGGAAACAACCCAGACCGUCAGCUAAGGUCCCAAAAUCCUGGUUAAGUGGGAAACGAUGUGGGAAGGCUUAGACAGCUAGGAGGUUGGCUUAGAAGCAGCCACCCUUUAAAGAAAGCGUAAUAGCUCACUAGUCGAGUCGGCCUGCGCGGAAGAUGUAACGGGGCUCAAACCAGGUACCGAAGCUACGGGUAUCA